CAGAUGCACAGUGACCAGUCGCCCAUGGACUCUGAAGGAAGUGACAAGACUGGUCCCUGGUUAUGACUCAUGUCUGUAAUUUAUGUAGUGACCUGUGGCCUGGGGAGCAGCAGCAGAGUUGUACUUGAUGAAUUAUGUACAGUUAAGAUCUGGGCAAAUGCUAAACUCCAAGAGUGCAAGUUCUCAGGGGCCACCAGCCAGACAGCCAGCACCAGGCCCUGAAGCAAUGAGUCCAUUGCUAUAUUGAGGAGACCCUGCCAGUAAAGAGAUUGCUGAGGAGGAACUUGGAAACACCGAACAGCAAUGGAUUUGGGGAAGCUACUGAUUCUUUCUGUUGCCAACCCUCCUUUUUUUUUUAAUAAAUGAAGUGCCAU